CCAUUGCGCUGCUUACACAUGCAAGUCGAACGCUGAAGCUUGGUGCUUGCACUGGGUGGAUGAGUGGCGAACGGGUGAGUAAUACGUGAGUAACCUGCCCUUGACUCUGGGAUAAGCCUGGGAAACUGGGUCUAAUACUGGAUAUGACCUCCUGUCGCAUGGUGGGGGGUGGAAAGGGUUUGUACUGGUUGUGGAUGGGCUCACGGCCUAUCAGCUUGUUGGUGGGGUAAUAGCCUACCAAGGCGACGACGGGUAGCCGGCCUGAGAGGGUGACCGGCCACACUGGGACUGAGACACGGCCCAGACUCCUACGGGAGGCAGCAGUGGGGAAUAUUGCACAAUGGGCGCAAGCCUGAUGCAGCGACGCCGCGUGAGGGAUGACGGCCUUCGGGUUGUAAACCUCUUUCAGCACGGAAGAAGCGAAAGUGACGGUACGUGCAGAAGAAGCGCCGGCUAACUACGUGCCAGCAGCCGCGGUAAUACGUAGGGCGCAAGCGUUGUCCGGAAUUAUUGGGCGUAAAGAGCUCGUAGGCGGUUUGUCGCGUCUGCUGUGAAAGCCCGGGGCUUAACCCCGGGUGUGCAGUGGGUACGGGCAGACUUGAGUGCAGUAGGGGAGACUGGAACUCCUGGUGUAGCGGUGAAAUGCGCAGAUAUCAGGAAGAACACCGAUGGCGAAGGCAGGUCUCUGGGCUGUUACUGACGCUGAGGAGCGAAAGCAUGGGGAGCGAACAGGAUUAGAUACCCUGGUAGUCCAUGCCGUAAACGUUGGGCACUAGGUGUGGGGGACAUUCCACGUUUUC
rnacentral:rRNA from 1 species